rfam:Picea glauca, whole genome shotgun sequence.
UCAUAUGUACAUGCCUACAACGUUAAUGCAUUGGAUCCCAUUAUAACUCCAUAGUUAAGCGUGCUUGGGCUAGAGUAGUACUGGGAUGGGUGACCUCUGGGGAGUCCUAGUCUUUUACAUGCC